rfam:Leersia perrieri chromosome 1, whole genome shotgun sequence.
GGGUGUAUAGCUCAGUUGGUAGAGCAUCGGACUUUUAACCUACUGGUCGCAGGUUCAAGUCCGGCUAUAACCA